rnacentral:tRNA from 1 species
UGGGCCUAUAGCUCAGCUGGUUAGAGCGCACGCCUGAUAAGCGUGAGGUCGAUGGUUCAAGUCCAUUUAGGCCCAUAUGGAGCAAUACUCAAGUGGCUGAAGAGGCGCCCCUGCUAAGGGUGUAGGUCGGAUAAUUCCGGCGCGAGGGUUCAAAUCUCUCUUGCUCCGUUUU